AGUGAACGCUGGCGGUAGGCCUAACACAUGCAAGUCGAACGGCAGCACAGUAAGAGCUUGCUCUUACGGGUGGCGAGUGGCGGACGGGUGAGGAAUACAUCGGAAUCUACUUUUUCGUGGGGGGUAACGUAGGGAAACUUACGCUAAUACCGCAUACGACCUACGGGUGAAAGCAGGGGAUCUUCGGACCUUGCGCGAUUCAAUGAGCCGAUGUCGGAUUAGCUAGUUGGCGGGGUAAAGGCCCACCAAGGCGACGAUCCGUAGCUGGUCUGAGAGGAUGAUCAGCCACACUGGAACUGAGACACGGUCCAGACUCCUACGGGAGGCAGCAGUGGGGAAUAUUGGACAAUGGGCGCAAGCCUGAUCCAGCCAUACCGCGUGGGUGAAGAAGGCCUUCGGGUUGUAAAGCCCUUUUGUUGGGAAAGAAAAGCAGCAGGUUAAUACCCCGCUGUUCUGACGGUACCCAAAGAAUAAGCACCGGCUAACUUCGUG
rnacentral:rRNA from 1 species